rnacentral:miRNA from 1 species
GUCCUUUGUGGUCCAUUUGU